rnacentral:piRNA from 1 species
UGUCCUGCGUACCUCCUCUGGAACUCCCUGC